GCAGUCGAGCGAACUGAUUAGAAGCUUGCUUCUAUGACGUUAGCGGCGGACGGGUGAGUAACACGUGGGCAACCUGCCUGUAAGACUGGGAUAACUUCGGGAAACCGAAGCUAAUACCGGAUAGGAUCUUCUCCUUCAUGGGAGAUGAUUGAAAGAUGGUUUCGGCUAUCACUUACAGAUGGGCCCGCGGUGCAUUAGCUAGUUGGUGAGGUAACGGCUCACCAAGGCAACGAUGCAUAGCCGACCUGAGAGGGUGAUCGGCCACACUGGGACUGAGACACGGCCCAGACUCCUACGGGAGGCAGCAGUAGGGAAUCUUCCGCAAUGGACGAAAGUCUGACGGAGCAACGCCGCGUGAGUGAUGAAGGCUUUCGGGUCGUAAAACUCUGUUGUUAGGGAAGAACAAGUACAAGAGUAACUGCUUGUACCUUGACGGUACCUAACCAGAAAGCCACGGCUAACUACGUGCCAGCAGCCGCGGUAAUACGUAGGUGGCAAGCGUUAUCCGGAAUUAUUGGGCGUAAAGCGCGCGCAGGCGGUUUCUUAAGUCUGAUGUGAAAGCCCACGGCUCAACCGUGGAGGGUCAUUGGAAACUGGGGAACUUGAGUGCAGAAGAGAAAAGCGGAAUUCCACGUGUAGCGGUGAAAUGCGUAGAGAUGUGGAGGAACACCAGUGGCGAAGGCGGCUUUUUGG
rnacentral:rRNA from 1 species